UACGUAGGGUGCAAGCGUUAAUCGGAAUUACUGGGCGUAAAGCGUGCGCAGGCGGCCAUGCAAGACAGAUGUGAAAUCCCCGGACUCAACCUGGGAACUGCAUUUGUGACUGCAUGGCUAGAGUACGGCAGAGGGGGAUGGAAUUCCGCGUGUAGCAGUGAAAUGCGUAGAUAUGCGGAGGAACACCGAUGGCGAAGGCAAUCCCCUGGGCCUGUACUGACGCUCAGGCACGACAGCAUGGGGAGCAAACAGG
rnacentral:rRNA from 1 species